UCAGCCGGUACUCCGAAUGCCUCUAGAUUAGAGUUUGAUCAUGGCUCAGAGUGAACGCUGGCGGUAGGCCUAACACAUGCAAGUCGAACGGCAGCACAGGAGAGCUUGCUCUCUGGGUGGCGAGUGGCGGACGGGUGAGGAAUACAUCGGAAUCUACUUUUUCGUGGGGGAUAACGUAGGGAAACUUACGCUAAUACCGCAUACUGACCUACGGGUGAAAGCAGGGGAUCUUCGGACCUUGCGCGAUUGAAUGAGCCGAUGUCGGAUUAGCUAGUUGGCGGGGUAAAGGCCCACCAAGGCGACGAUCCGUAGCUGGUCUGAGAGGAUGAUCAGCCACACUGGAACUGAGACACGGUCCAGACUCCUACGGGAGGCAGCAGUGGGGAAUAUUGGACAAUGGGCGCAAGCCUGAUCCAGCCAUACCGCGUGGGUGAAGAAGGCCUUCGGG
rnacentral:rRNA from 1 species